AUGCUGUUGAUUUUUAAUUGCACUUGUUGUUUCAUGGUAAUUAGAUCUCUUUUUCAUAUUUAUCUUGUCAUGUUUGCAAAUGAAAGAUAGUGUGGGGUCAUUUUGCCACUAUUAAAGAUGGCUGCACUUUGCAUUCUCUCUUGAUGUUGUGAAUGUUGAUGAUGUGCAUUCUUUUGCUGUUUAUAAAAUUGAGUUUUCUAAAUAUUGUCAGUGGAUGAUGUAUUUUUGACAUCUUAAAAGACUUUGUCAUUUAGAAUGGAUUUUGUUGUUCAUUUUUUAAAUUAUUUUGCUUGCAUAUGGAUGUCUGCCUCUAUAAAUCUAACUUUAUUUAAUUAAUCUUUGUACUUUUUAUUGUUCAAGUACAACAAGCUUCUCAGUUGU
rnacentral:misc_RNA from 1 species